rnacentral:rRNA from 1 species
UACGAAGGGGGCUAGCGUUGCUCGGAAUCACUGGGCGUAAAGUGCACGUAGGCGGCUUUCUAAGUCAGGGGUGAAAUCCUGGAGCUCAACUCCAGAACUGCCUUUGAUACUGGAGAGCUUGAGUCCGGAAGAGGUGAGUGGAACUCCGAGUGUAGAGGUGAAAUUCGUAGAUAUUCGCAAGAACACCAGUGGCGAAGGCGGCUCACUGGCCCGGUUCUGACGCUGAGGCGCGAAAGCGUGGGGAGCAAACAGG